GUAAGCAGGGUCAGAGUUCAUGAGAGAGACUUGCCGUGACUGAUGAGGAAACAGCAUGUGGAAUGUAUGUAGACACAGAUCUGGUGAGAUUAGCUAUCCCCUCUCUUUCCCAUACUGAUUAAUGCUUUGGGAACUCCAUUGGGUCUCACUUACUGUGUUUACACUUACAACGGACCUGAACUGGCUCAGAGUCGACCAGAUUAAAAGAUUCUUGUCAUUUGAGCCACCCAUUUACACCACAGGUCUGACCCAGUAUGCACACGCAUAACCCCUGAACUGUAGUGCGUUCCUGAUGAUGUCAUAUCGACCACCUCUUGUGUGAAGACAUCCCCCCCUCCCCAAAACACAGAGGUGGAAGUGUUUUAGACAACAAGGAUAUGUUAGAACUAUUGAAAACAUUGGAAAAAGAGAAAACCUCAAAGGAAAGUAGGAAGAAAGAAAAAGAAAAGAAAAGACAUAUCCCAGUGAGGAGGAUUGUUUCCUGAAUUCUGACAGCGAGAAUGUAAGAAUUCCAUUAAAUAAAUUUAGAAAACCAGCGUCAGGAAGCAGAGCACAGCAGCUUGGAGAAACAUUUAGGGCCCGAAGAAGAUCAAGCAGUUCAAGUGAAGACCUUGAACAACUGGAUGUUUGUGGGGCUCCCGAGUGGCAUAUCCAGUAAAGGCGCUCCACGUGGAGCACAGGAUGCGCCCUAUAGCCUGGACGUUGCCGGUUCGAGUCCAGGCUAUUCCAUUGCCGACCGUGGACAGGAGUUCCCAGGGGCGACGCACAACUGGCCGAGCCGAGCCCCGCCCGGGGGGGGUUAGGUCCUCGGUUCACCGCACACCAGUGACCCCUGUAGUCUGGCCGGGCUGAAUGAAUUCUCCCUGUUACAGAGUGAUUGUGAAUUGGAUGUCAGGGUAGGAAAAGACCAGCUACAUAACAAAACUGACAUUCUCAAAUAUGAGAAUGAAAGAGUGAAGAAAGAAAAUAAUGCGCUUACAAUAAAAAUGCAAAGUCUGACGAACACAAUUGCCCUGCUUGAGAGUAAGUGUACAUAUUCUGAAAUCUUUCUUGUAUGUUGGUAUAUA